GCGGAAGGAUCAUUAGUGAAUAUAGGACGUCCAACUUAACUUGGAGUCCGAACUCUCACUUUCUAACCCUGUGCACUUGUUUGGGAUAGUAACUCUCGCAAGAGAGCGAACCCCUAUUCACUUAUAAACACAAAGUCUAUGAAUGUAUUAAACUUUAUAACAAAAUAAAACUUUCAACAACGGAUCUCUUGGCUCUCGCA
rnacentral:misc_RNA from 1 species